CCUCACACCAACUAUAAAAGCCCUUCCUUUGUUCCAUAAUUUUUCAUUCCUCAAAUGCAUUCUCUAUUUCUCUAUACAUUUCUCCACCUUGGAGAAUAUAUUUAAGCUUUCUUUUCUAUCGUUCCAAAAAUAGUUUUCAAAAUUGGUGCACCAAAAUCUAGAAUGCAAUAGGGAGAAGUAAUCCACCAGCACCAACAACUCUAUUACAGGCUUGAGGGUUCAUAUGUGAGUCCCUUAGCUUUCCCACUGGAUUAUUUAUUUAUAAUAAAAGGUCGCUAGACACUCUAUCUAGUGGUAUUAAGUCACUAGAGAGUGAGAGUUUAUUUUUCUUAAUGUAAUUAUCAACAACAAAUUUAUGAACAAUAUUUUAUGUUUUUUCUUAA